UCAGUCCGGCUGCUGGGACAGAAACGCCAAAGAAAAGCUGGAAAGGGAUCUGUAAGCAUAAUGCUUUCCUUCUGGAGCUGGGCAAAGGCUUGGGACCCAAAAGAUUAUUUUCUUAUUUGCUCGCUUAUUUGUUCCCCGUUAACCUGCAUUAGAUGAUAUAUCAGUGCAAUAAUCUAUGGGUUUUGCUUUAUAGAUGUUCCAGAGCAGUCCCAGGUGCGCUGACCCCGCUGCUGCAGUGGAUCCCUGUCAGCCUGCGGCACCCUGCUCUUGCUUGUGGCUGGGGCUGGAUUCCCCUGAGUACUUGGCACUAGAAGACUUUUUUAGGCUAGGCAAUGUUUUCAGAAAUGUUUUCAUUAAAACUGUAGCACUGCAGUAUCCGCACUCAGGAGAGCAAUGAAAAUUUGCUGGAUAUUAAUGUUUCACUGGUAAGUACCUUCAUGAGUGAAUGUUACUUGUGAAAACCCAGGCACUUAAGCUGCUCCAUGGGAGGAUGCAGGUGCUAAACUCUUUGUCUGCUGGGUUCUCUGAACAUCUAUGAGUCUGGCCUAGCUUACAAAAUUAUUUCCGUUAACACCAUCUCAUAUCUCUCAGUCGAAUAUUCACCAGACAAGUAAUGGUUUAAUCUUCUAAAACUUUAGGAUACAAGACUAAAGUUUUGAAGGAUGCAAGGAAGCCAAAUAGUUAACACUAGUAGAAUGAAAUUCCAGAUGGCUAUACAGUUUCUAGACUACAUGUCAUAGAGCUAAGCUAGACCUUUCUCAUUUCCUACUAAUAAUCGUUAAGAAGUAUUUGUCUUCUAAUUAUCCUAUCACCUCUGAAUAAUGAAUUGAAUCUUUGUUUUUCCUAAAACAGUAAUUUUAUACCUUACAUAGCUUAAACCAGGACAUGGGCUGAGCAAACAUCACUUAUGCUGCAAGAACAACUUGAACUUUGCACUUACAAGUGCGUAAACUUUGCUUUCAGGCAGCAGUUAGUGGUGGCUAGAGCAAGACAGAACGAAAUAGAAGACCUGGGAAGGUUAAAAAUCGGUUGUCUGCCUGUUAAUAGCCACAUGAAAACCAAACCUCACAGCUCUUCAGGCACUUCAUCUGGACAUGUAAAAGCACUGAAGACAACCAUGUUUAGCCUAACACAUGAGUAGAGUGAGGCCUGGAGUAUGUGCAUGCUCACCCCAAUGCAGGCAUGCAGCCUCCUGCAGCUUCCAUGCACCAGGGGGACACGUAACUCAUGCUUCCCUUCACGUGCUCUCAUGCAGGCAGCGUGCCCCAUCUUUCCAACUGUAAUAAAAGAAGCUUCCCCUGGUAUCCCCCUGUGUUC
rnacentral:lncRNA from 1 species